rnacentral:rRNA from 1 species
CAGUGAGGAAGGUGGGUAUGUUAAUAGUCAUAUUCAUUUUGACGUUAGCUGCAGAAGAAGCACCGGCUAACUCCGUGCCAGCAGCCGCGGUAAUACGGAGGGUGCGAGCGUUAAUCGGAAUUACUGGGCGUAAAGCGCAUGCAGGUGGUUUGUUAAGUCAGAUGUGAAAGCCCGGGGCUCAACCUCGGAAUUGCAUUUGAAACUGGCAAACUAGAGUACUGUAGAGGGGGUAGAAUUUCAGGUGUAGCGGUGAAAUGCGUAGAGAUCUGAAGGAAUACCGGUGGCGAAGGCGCCCCCCUGGACAGAUACUGACACUCAGAUGCGAAAGCGUGGGGAGCAAACAGGAUUAGAUACCCUGGUAG